AUGCCAGCAGCUGCAGCAUCGCCUGAGUUUGCAGUUCAGCUCUCAGACACUUUGCUACUCCAAGUAUAUAUACUUCAGCACAUCCUUAUGCUCGCUCACAUCUUUCCUGUGUUUUUCCAAGAGCAGCAUUAUGUCCUAUUAUCAUCCUCCAGCGUCACUGUAGCAAAGUUAUCAUAUCAAAAUACUACCAAACGUACCAACAUCGAAAAACAAGGAGGCCAUGACAACCCGUCCAUUUACUUUUUUUGCAGAGAGCCAAAUUACAGAGCUAAAAUAAACAGUCUGUUGGCUGGUGGUACAUCAGCAACGGAGAGAAACAAUAUCUGCUACUUCAUGUUUAUAUACAAUAAAUAUGGCUUGGCUGCAAAAGCUUUCCUGAAAUGGCACUAUUAG
rnacentral:rRNA from 1 species